AUUGCACUGCUUCGAACUCCCACUGCUGACAACCUGGGUACAGAAACAAUGUCUCAUGACCAGCAGCAGAUCAAGCAGCCAUUCCAGCCACCACCAGAGAGCUCCCAGCUGUGUCCUCCUCUGAAAUUCCUGGAAAGCUGCCCUUCUGCUCCACCAAAAUGCCCAGAGCCGGCCCCACCUCCUCCCAAGGGCCCAGAGCCAUCUCCUCAGCCCCCCAUGAUGCCCACCUGCUGAGAAGGGCCACAUGGCCAAGCCGUUCUAGCCGGCACUGUGAACCAAACGGCAGAAUCUGCAACAGCACAAUCUUGCUUCUCUUAUUCCUGAAUCAGGACCUCUCAUUGCAUCAGGCUCACCCCCCUUCCCUGUGUCUGUUUCUACAGCUUUUAUCCCCUCUCAGGCAGUAAGCUGGACUUGAACAUUGGGUGUCACCAUACCAUUUGUUUCGGGCAAAUGUACAGCACAAGUUAUCCCCUGUUUCUCAAUGCGCUCCUUAAAUGCCUAAUUACCCGUUUCAUAAACAUCUUGAGAUAGACCCAGCUAAAACCAGGAACCGAUCAAGGCUGAAAACUAGGGUUGCCAACUCUAUUUAAAUCUAUUCUGGGAGGUUUCCAGAGUGCCAGUGUGCCUGCCACACAACACGGAUGUGCCCACGUGCUUGCAUAUAUUGGUGACAGAUUACAAAGAGUAGACUUUACAUCCAGAAGGCAAAUGUGCAUGACUCUUGUACCAUCAUCUUGCACAUGCAUCAUCAAAGAGCUACUCAACACAGCUCACAAAGACACUCUCAUGGACCCAGAGGGACAGACUUCCAUCUUCAGCUCCCUCUGUGCAGAAAUGAAGUUUAUUUCCUACUUAUGGGGACUUUUUACCAUCUUGUACCAUCUACACUUUUCCUGGAGCCUGAUGAAGGGACUUUGAUCCCAAAAACUUGCAGAAAGGGACAGUUUUCUUGCCAUUUUCCAGUUGGUCUAAUAAAAGGUAUCAUUUUGGAACUAA